GAUGAACGCUGGCGGCGUGCUUAACACAUGCAAGUCGAACGGAAAGGCCAGUGCUUGCACUGGUGCUCGAGUGGCGAACGGGUGAGUAACACGUGGGUGAUCUGCCCUGCACUUUGGGAUAAGCCUGGGAAACUGGGUCUAAUACCAGAUAGGACCAUGCUUUGGAUGGUGUGGUGGAAAGUUUUUUCGGUGUGGGAUGAGCUUGCGGCCUAUCGGCUUGUUGGUGGGGUAAUGGCCUACCAAGGCGUCGACGGGUAGCCGGCCUGAGAGGGUGUACGGCGACAUUGGGACUGAGAUACGGCCCAGACUCCUACGGGAGGCAGCAGUGGGGAAUAUUGCACAAUGGGCGCAAGCCUGAUGCAGCGACGCCGCGUGGGGGAUGACGGCCUUCGGGUUGUAAACUCCUUUCGCAACUGACGAAGCUUUUUGUGACGGUAGGUUGAGAAGAAGCACCGGCUAACUACGUG
rnacentral:rRNA from 1 species